rnacentral:rRNA from 1 species
UACGGGGGGGGCAAGCGUUGUUCGGAAUUACUGGGCGUAAAGGGCGCGUAGGCGGUUGGAUAAGUCAGCUGUGAAAACCACGGGCUUAACUCGUGGCCUGCAGUUGAGACUGUCUGGCUUGAGUGUGGGAGAGGAGAGUGGAAUUCCUGGUGUAGCGGUGAAAUGCGUAGAUAUCAGGAGGAACACCGGUGGCGAAGGCGGCUCUCUGGACCACAACUGACGUGGAGGCGCGAAAGCUAGGGGAGCAAACGGG